UCCCAGUGGCCCUUUAGCUCCCUCCUUGGGGUUCCCAGUGGCCCUUCACAGGAUUCUCUGCACUCCCCCCUCCAGCGCUCCUUCCCUUCUGGGAGAGCAGCAGAGGGGCCCUCUGGAACCUCCUACAACUAUAUUUUCUGCUGUCGUCUCCCUCACCCUCCAGUGAACCUGUCCAAGAUACCUGCACCUGGCCUGAAGACACCAGCAUACUUGGGCUUUUGGCCUUACUGGCACAGGACCCAGAGACUGACUGAGGAAGCAUCCAGAUGUAGGAGGAGGGGUGGCCCUGGGACAGGCAAACAGAUAGACUCCCGGCAAAAUAUGCGUGUGGUGUGUUCACAGGUGGAGCCAGGAGGGGCCGGGGCCAGUGAGGGCGUGGGCAGCACUUCCCUGAGACCCCAGAGCCAUUCAGGACAAGCAGGUCCUGAAAACUUUGGUUUUGCCCCCUCCACAGUGUAGUGAAAGGAUAGUCCCACAUCAUUAAAGCUGCCCCAACCUCUCUUGUCCUGAGCUGGUUCUCCAAGUGGCGAUUGAAUAGGAAUAUUAGUGGCCAAAGGAAGAAAGUGGUGUAUCUUAAUUCCAGCCUAGAAUGGAAUAAGUCGGUUGUUGCCAUUUAGGGGUUUGGGAGACUUGGAAGGCUUUUCCUGCCUGCCUGGGGUAGGGGUGAGGGUGCAGCCACUCAAGGAGGCACUGUCUGCCUCUGGCUGUGGACUAGAGGAAGAGAAUGGAGUGAGGAAGAUAGUUGAGAUGGAAAAGAUGUUGAAGUAGGAAAGACAGAGACAGAAUUGCCUCUCUUUACUCAGCUAACUCAGGUGUACCCUAUGAUGUCAGGGUGGGAAGGCUCACAGCUUCAGUCUUCGGGGUCUUAGGGAUGCGGGAACCAAACUCUAACAGCCCCUCUCCCUCGCUCCUGCAUCCACAGAGGAAUCCUGCUUAUCUGUCCCUCCUUCCCUCCAGAACCCGCCCUGUGGGUUGUGAGCAGGGGCAAGUAGUGAACCUUCUGUGGGGCCCCUCUGGGUACAGAAAAGCAGAGUGCCCUUCCGGGGGACUCCCCCUUUCUAGCGUGAGGAUACCUCCUGCGCCCCUGGCGCUGACAAGAGCGGCUGUAAUUAGGCUGCGGGGUCCCAGGCUUUCCGCCUCCCUCUGGCAGAUAAUGAGAUAAAGUGUCAGAGACUCCGCGAGAACAAAGAGACAGAGACUCGCAGCCACUUGUGUGUGAGGGGCGAAGGAGGGAGCUGAUGGGAUGUCAGAGCCUCCAGCUACGCAGAGCCCUCCCUGAGCGUCUGCACCUCGAGGGCUAGGCCAGGGAGGGGGUAUCCUGUCACCUGUGCACCCUGGGCUUCUAGUCUCUGGGACUUAAAAAUCAAUCCCGGAGCUCGAGUGGCCCGCACAGCUGGGCUGCACAUCUGGUUCUCUGUGGCACAGCUGGGGAGCCUGGUCGCCUGGAGGGAGGCCUGGCCCUAGUGCCCGCCCUUUUAUUGUUGGGCCUUUGCCCGCCUCCCUGUGCCCUUUUUUCUGAGUUCUGGUGACCUCGGCCUGGCGUGUCCCAGACCCUCUGUCCCACUAGCUUCCUAGAGCCACUGCUCUUUCUGCAGCUUGGGCCUCCGCCGCGCUCUCAGAGCUGCUAAUUACAUUACUGCGUCUGCCUCCUCGCGACGCCUCGACCUUUGACGUGUUUCUGGUCCCAGUCUUUGCCCUAAGACUUUGCGCACUAAACCGCGCGGGGAUGCUAGUCCUCACGCAGGUGGCGCACGGAAAACGCAGCUGAACUCGGUGGUGAGAGAGGACUGCAGGGGUAGGGGCGCGGGCGCCCCCUGGAGGCCGAGCGGCGCGUGAGCUCGGGAGAUGCCUCGGGCGCCCCCUGCGGGAUGGGACCGGCUCUGCACUCCCGGCGCCAUGGCAGCAGCAGAUGGUGCCUGGACUCCCGCUACCAACCUUGCUAGGCGGUGCCAACCUCAGUCCUGGCAGACAACGGGCAGACCAGAAGAGGAGCUCCUGGCUAGCCAGGCCGACCCUCCCCCACCCGCCAUCAAGCUCAAGCCCCUCUGCCUGCUCCACUCCAGCGACUACCCCAGCCUGCCUCUCACUGGUCGGCUCUCAGCUCUUCAACCGAGAUCUCACAUCGCCCCCUGGCGGCCCCGCUCGGCGCUGAGCCAGGUUCGGUAACGCAGGGGCUGCAGGCGGCUACCUCACCAGGAGCUGAGAGGACCCACCCUGCCUCGCGAUCCUCCUCCCAGCCGCGGGGGCUCAGGGGCUGCCGCCGUAGCCCACCUCCCCUUUCAUCACAGACAACAAAGGCCUCGCCUAGCAGACGCACCUAUCUUCCCACCUCCCACCAGCCUCAGUCCAGACGGGUCUCAGGUUACCCUAUAAUACAGAGGUGGGACAGCCGGGUCGGGGAGGAGAGGCGGAUAUUCCACUCCUCUCCCCUAAAGAAUAACUUUUCUGGCCGGACACCGUGGCCUGUAAUCCCAGCACUUUGGGAGGUCGCGGUGGGAGGAUUACUUGAAGCCAGGAGGUGGAGACCAGCCUGGGCAACAUAGCCAGACCCUG